rnacentral:rRNA from 1 species
UCCCUUAGAUGUUCUGGGCCGCACGCGCGCUACACUGACGAAGUCAGCGAGCAUGUCCUACGCCGACAGGUGCGGGGAAUCUUGUCAAACUUCGUCGUGAUGGGGAUUGAUUAUUGAAAUUCUUGAUCAUCAACGAGGAAUUCCUAGUAAGCGCAAGUCAGCAGCUUGCGUUGAUUACGUCCCUGCCCUUUGUACACACCGCCCGUCGCUACUACCGAUUGAAUGGUUUAGUGAGAUCUUCGGAUUGGCGCCACUGCGGCUCAGCAAUGGGCUCGGUGGAUGCCGAAAAGUUGAUCAAACUCGAUCAUUUAGAGGAAGUAAAAGUCGUAACA